rnacentral:rRNA from 1 species
GAUCAUGGCUCAGGAUGAACGCUGGCGGUAUGCCUAACACAUGCAAGUCGUACGAGAGUUUUUAACUCUAGUGGCGGACGGGUGAGUAACACGUGAGAAUUUACCUUUAGGAGGGGGAUAACAAUUGGAAACGAAUGCUAAUACCCCAUAUGCUUUCGAGUGAAAUGGAUUUAUAAUUAUCUGCCUAAAGAAAAGCUCGCGGCUGAUUAGCUUGUUGGUAAGGUAAGAGCUUACCAAGGCGACGAUCAGUA